AUUGAACGCUGGCGGCAUGCCUUACACAUGCAAGUCGAACGGUAACGGGCCUUCGGGUGCCGACGAGUGGCGAACGGGUGAGUAAUACAUCGGAACGUGCCCGAUCGUGGGGGAUAACGAGGCGAAAGCUUUGCUAAUACCGCAUACGAUCUACGGAUGAAAGCAGGGGACCGCAAGGCCUUGCGCGGACGGAGCGGCCGAUGGCAGAUAAGGUAGUUGGUGGGAUAAAAGCUUACCAGGCCGACGAUCUGUAGCUGGUCUGAGAGGAUGAUCAGCCACACUGGGACUGAGACACGGCCCAGACUCCUACGGGAGGCAGCAGUGGGGAAUUUUGGACAAUGGGCGCAAGCCUGAUCCAGCCAUGCCGCGUGCAGGAUGAAGGCCUUCGGGUUGUAAACUGCUUUUGUACGGAACGAAAAGCCUUCUUUUAAUACAGGAGGGUCAUGACGGUACCGUAAGAAUAAGCACCGGCUAACUACGUG
rnacentral:rRNA from 1 species